CAUGGCAGAAGGGUUGAAAGGAGGUUAUCUUUAAGGUCUCUUCCAACCCGAACUAUUCUAUGAUGCCAUAAAAGAAAAGUAGAAAGAGUAGGAGGAUUUUACAAGGGUACGGUUUUUCUAUUUGUAUGUGAAUAUUGCUAAGAAAGUAACCAGCUUUGGUACGCUUAUUUAGACUCCUACAAAACUGGAGAAACUGCACAACAGUCAAUGGAGUAGCACUGCUGAGGACGCUGGUGGCUUUAGUCCUGCCAGGACCACAUGGAGAUAAGGUGUGCAAGUCUGGACCAGGGACUGAUAUUUGUGCCUUUCCUGAGGUGACAGAGAAGGAAGCUUUCCUCAUCUGGUGUGCCAGCAGACAGAAAAAUGAAGGUUUGGUGCAGAGGGAGGAAACCUGCACGUGUGGCAGAGCUCAGAUUGCUGUCAAAAAGCUGGAGAAGUUGCAGACAAAACAUCAGCUCUUUGGAUAAUUACAGAAGCCCUUUGAAGCCUUCAAAAGCCCAUUGUGUUUUUCUUCACUUAUGAGUGAGAAUUUUGGGGGAAAGUAAAUAAAAUGCUGCAGUUUCAAAGUGAAAAAACCAAUGGCAAGUGAAGAUGUCUCAGCGUUGACCUUGAGCACUGGUGCUUAGUGCCUGACAAAGGAAACUUCCCUACAUCAAGUUGAGCUGAGCACCGUGUUUCACUCACUGGCUGCUGCAGCAGCUUGUCUGAAAGUCAAUGGGAUUAAUGCUGCUGAAAUAUAUGGUUUAUUUAGCUAUUCUUACUGACCCAUGAACAUACCUACUGUAUAAUUUAUUGGAAUGUUAGGAGUUCAGUCCUGUGAUGUUUGUGAUAGAAAAUCUUCACUUUGAGCCAGUGGGAAAUUUUGUUAGGGUGAGGAGUGCAGGCCUGGCCUCUGCUUUGCCUUUUUUCUUUUGCAUUGCAACACAAUUAACCUUUUCAUUAGAAGAGCUCUGUUCCAAAUAAGCAAACUUCUCAAUGUGUAUUACUGAACCAUUUCAAGCUGUCUCUUGCUUUGAAACAAAACAUCUUUGUUCCAGCCAUGCAUGACAUUUGAAGACCUAUUUAUACAGUGUGUCAGCUCCAUUUGUUUUCUUCAUCCUGAUGUUUUCCUCUGUAUUUUUAGUUACCCCUCCAGAUUGCAAUGAGUGAGGUUGCUUCUGGUUUCCUCCUGUGCUGCUCCAGACUGAGGCACUGACUCGCUUUGUCCUUUCUCCACUUUUGUGGGCAGAGGUGAAACAACCCAAAAUCAGACACAAUUCUGCUUAUUUCAUCCUCUUUGUACUGAGACCAGCAGCACCAGGCUGCUGUGGGGUGGAGAGAUAGCAGAAGGACCUGCUGUUAAUGACAGUUUCUCUCCUGAUAUCCUGCCUGUGGGAUGCACAUAGCUGCAAUCCCUUCUGCUGGAGGGGACUCACUGAGGGACAGACUUCCACACUGCAUCAGUAAAUUAGCCCUUCUUGCAAAAUACCUGCUUUUUCCUUAGACAUUCAUCAUUUGUCCUAAGUCUCUAACCAGUAAUUCCUGUUUGGCAGCACAAUGCUAACUGAUCGAAGAAAAUCCACCAAAAAUUGAAAAAGAAAAAAAAAUGUAUCAAGAUAUUGAGUAAUAAAGCUUUUAACAUCCUGAUUUUAAUAUUGACUAAGUGUAAAUAAUUAUGGUGUUUGCCUCAUUCUCUCCCUUGUAAAAAAUUUAUCUGUCUUGGGACAUGUCUUAUCUUCCAGAAGGGAUCCAGGGUAGUGCUGUCCCUGCUACUCAAGCAGCAACAUAAUGUCUAGCCCAGUACUGGCACUACCUAUGAAAUGAAAGUCUAAUUCCUUCUUGAAAUCCUUUGCACAACGUACCAGCUGAAGGUUUCAAGCUGCUUUAACACAUGCAGGGUGUCAGGACACUACUGCAAGCCUCACUUUAACCAGAAAAGGAGCUGAAGGUGCCAGCCCAGCAGUGGUGAGCAUGGAGUUGCAGUAGCAGAGCCUCAUCUGCUCUCUCCAAUAUUGUUGUCACUGAGAAGGUUGGGGAAGAAGGGUGAAAUAGCUCCAUGCAAGCAACACUGUUCCUGCCAGGUACUUCGUGCCUCACUCAAAGCCACUGAUAAGACCAAGAAAGGCAUCUGCAUUGACCUUCUGCAUCCCCAUCCAUAUAAUAGCAGACAGAAGGGCUGUAAGAACAGAGAUUAAACUUCAGAGCACCUCACAGCUGUGUUUUAUGUAGACACUCCUUCCAAUUCCUGGGAAAGUGCACGAUCUCCUCUGGAUGUGGAACUGCAGGUCAUUUCCAUGCCAAAUACUUAAUGUGUCCAGCUUUUGCAUGUGAUGGAUGGGCUUCUGCUGCAAGAAGUGGAGGCAUUGGCAUGUGAGGAGGAAUGCCUUCAAUACCACGUGCUUCAAAAGCCAGGCUUGCGAGCUUUGCCGUGCGUUCCAGCAGCUGGGGUAGAGCUGCGUGCAUGGUCCCUGCCAGCACAAAUGAAACCAAGGCAUCCAUAUGCUGUGCAUUAGGUGUGUUUGAUCUCCUGAUCUCUGGGUUGCUGCUCCGAUACUCCUUCUUCCUCUCUGUAACAGUCUGAGGAGUACAGAGCGCAGUGUUGAAACUUGUAAGUCUGUGUGUGUUUAUAGGCUCUGUGAUGGGAACUGCAAAGCUUAACACAAAACAGUUGAGAAAAUGUUGCUGGCCACAGCCACAAAACCUGUCCUCAUCUGUUCCGUGAUGGGGUGGAAAAGAAAACUCCUCAAGUUUAAUUUUCCUGAUUAAAGAUGAAGGAAAAAGAACUGCCAAAGUGGAUGGAAUUUAGUCCAAUUGAUGUGACACCUGGAUUAGCAAAGAAAAAUGCAAUCUCCUCUGUGUGCAGGAAUUGUGGCCAUGCAUGGCAAGACCGCCACAAAGACACUGCAGCCCUGCAUGGACAAGGGACAGCUUCCGUAACCACAGGCUUGAAGCCUGCCCCUGUGUGGAUUACUGUCACUGCUCAGCACACAUUUUCAAGUCAGUUAUUGCAGUGACUCAGUUGUGUGUCACUAAGAAGCUACAGACACCUCUGAUCCACAUUAAAGGUGGUGGUGAGAUAGGAGAGGAUGGCUCCACUUCAUAGAAGAUUUGCUGGCUCCACGGCAUUGUCUCAUGCAGAUUGGGAAACUGGGCAACACUGUAACUUGGAAAUUAUACAAUGGGGAAGCACAAGCAACAACCAGGUAGCAGAAGAACAAAGUCCUGCACUCAUUUUGAAGAAACACAAGAUGGAAAUAACCAAACUUAGCCAAUAUCCAUGCUAAAGACAACAGUGUCACAGGCCAGUGACUGUCAAAGACAUGAAGGAAGGAUGGCUGCUAUCUAUACAGCUAUGUGGAACCUGAACAAGGCAGGACCCUGCACCCAGCCCCAUAUUCUGGUGAUACCAAAGGUCAGUACACCUUUCUUGCACUCCUCUGUCUCUGUAGCAGAGAUACCCACUGUGAGCCAUACCUGCUGGAGGGGGCUGCUAGGAUGGCACAUCCAUUGGAUGUACCACCCAGCCCUGUUGAAGAACAGGCUGGUCUGCCUACUCCAUACAAAUAUUGCUCUACUGAGCAAGAACCAGGUCCAGGCGAUACGUGGGCUCUGUUCCUUUAAAGCAACAAAGGCUAGACACGUUUCUAGAUUCAGUUAAAAAAGAUGACCCACAUGGAGCUCACAUAACCCCCAUUGCUGAAGUAUAAACUUGGCCCUGACACAGACACAGACAGAAAGUAGUUGGCAGAUUGGUUUGGGAUUGAGUAGUUUCUAGAUUUCUUACACAGAAACUAGGUUUCUUAGUCUAUAACCAAAUAAGAGAAGGAUGUAGCCCUGAGAAGAUGGCUCUAGAAGUGCCAUUCUCCAUUCUGACCUUCAGCUUCCCCCCCCACAUACUACUGUGACUACCCCAGCCCACACCUCUUCCAUGUAUUCCUAGUCCAACCCUCGUACCAACAUUAUGAUGCAAUGAGACCCUGGCUAUGGAGAGUGAAACACAACCAUAGGGAAACAUAUGAUGUCUUAACAAAAUUAAUGCAGUGAUCAAACAUCAGGAAGGGGACAGGAGACAAUUACAGGGAAAGCCAACCUAUAUGCAGAGAUUCUUGUUUGCAGCCUUCAGCCUCAUACUUAUCUCAAGCCUGGUACACUGUCAGCGCAGUGAGAGUGUAAGUGUCCCUGUCCUAAGAAGGGAGAAACAAAACCGUGGAUUCCCCAAAGAGAUAACAAUUCGAGUGGGCACAUCAUUUUUAAAUGGCUUGCAACUGAGGGGCAAAAAUACUCUCUACCCCUGUGAGAGUGCUACAUGCAGGAAUCUACCAAUACCAAUCAGACAGCUACAGGGUUCAAGCAUUGUUCUGCCAACUAUAACCUGGAGGGUCAUAGAUAAGAGGAGGGAAGGCCCACGUGCUAAAAGCACAUGCUGAGGUCUAUCCUGCUUCAUGUAUGAUUCCUACCCCAGCCGCACCAGGGCAGGUUAUGCCACUGGGAGCCUUCUGUGCUGCGCGUGGCCUGUGAGAUUUCAGGUUGAGGAAACACACCACUGAAGAGGCCCAUGCAAUGCUGCUGAUGCCGACAUGUGCUGUCAACCCUGCAGAAGGUGGGAGCAGCAGGGCAAAAAGUAGAUCAAGUAAUCAGACCAACAGCAUAUCCAAGUAGAAAAGUCCUACCUACACACACAGACUAGCUGCACCCAGAAUUUGGGGCCACUAGCAGCAUGACUGAUCCUGCUAAUCUCACUAAGGCUCUAACACGAACCGUGCAAGAAGUGUUCCAACUGUCUAAUGGAGCUGGGGAUCCCUGCUCUGUUCAUCACCUGCUGCGGCACCAGGAUAUUCUUGGGAAAUUCACUGGGAGGAAUGCCAGCACUAUCAGUAAGAUGAAUUCUAAUUUCCUGUCUCCAGCGUGGAGUUUCCCUUCAGCCAGGGAAUUGGAAACUAUCCCUUGCAGACAUCCAAAUCUACCAGUAAGACUCCUGCAGUGAUCCCCAAUAUUUGGAGAUUACAUCACAUGAGGAGAUAAAAGGCAAGUGAAUGAUAAUAGGAAACUGGUGGAAAGAGUGGUCACAGAGCUCCCCUUGACAAAAUGUGCUCUUGAUCCUGGUCGGUGUCUGCCCACCUAAAAUACACGUGCUGUUACGGGCUAUAUGGGUACACCAAUCAACACGAUGGCAGCUGCAUUACUGAACUACUCAGUAACACCUUGCAAGUUUCUGUAAGCAACACUCCCCUCUGCCUGUGGAUCCCCAAACUGGUCAUGAGCAGGGCAUCAAUGUUCUUUUGGCAGCUUCCAAUGCACUGCCAAGGUAUCCCAAGUUUGCUUCCAUAAUUUAACAGUUUUAGGGAUAGGUCCAAUCCCUGCAAUCAGCUAAUUUUCUGCUGCUUGAUGGAUUAGAUUAGAGCCAUCAGUGUGACUACAAGCAGUCUCUAGGAAUGUGGGUCACAGGGGUCUGGAGGAAAGAUUAACAACCAGGAGUGAAGGGAGGCUUGUCACCUUGUGCUGAGAUGCCGUCAUGGCUCAGUAGGGAUAUUCAGCUGUCCAAUAAGUAUGGGUGUGAAGACCUAGAGCCUUAAACAAAAUGCUACGAAAAACUGCUGAAAUAGGACCCAGAGCAAUCAAGUGGAAACACCAGCACUGACACCAGGCAUGAUGGGUUGAAACAAGGCACUAGAGGUAAGUGCUAAAGAAGCUACCACCAGACAUCAUACAUGAAUGAGCAAUAACCACUGACCAAGCACUAAACUCUGUAAAAGGCUAAUAGACAGAAGGGAAGGUGGAGAAGACUGACUGCAGGAUGUCCCCAUCCUGAUAGGCACUUGGUAGAUGUGCUCCAGGGAUGCUGAGACUUCUCUGCACCACAGACACCACAUGCUGAGCACUUGUUUGGUCCCUGCUCUGUUGUAAGUUCUGCUGGGGACAACUGGGGUGCUAAGCUGAGCUGUGGCCAGGGAACAUCACCACAUUCAUAGGGGCUGCCUUAGCAUGGAGACAUGGUUUGUGAACUGAAUAAAGCCCUUUGAUAGAGGUGUACUUUGUUACCCUUCUGUCUGCAACUUGUUGAGAAAAUGUUUAUAGUCUCACAGCAUCUUUGCUUAUCUCAUACUGCAUGGACUGUGCUGACUUGAUUGUGCAGCAGACAGAGUUUGCUGGGGGGAUUUCACACCCCUGGGAGAAGCAGAUACACAUUUUGCAUGUGUGUGUAUGUGUGCUUCAUUUACACAUACACAGACACAAAUACGACUAAUUAUACACACACACACACAUUUUUUCAAAACAAACUAGUUUACUGAAAACACUUGUCUUCUGGUGGGAAAGCUGAGAGAACAAACACAUGACAGAUGCCUGUCAUGUUGUGCAAUGUGCCAGCAGAAAAUGGUUGGAUACUGUGGCAUUAAAGCAGCAAAGAUCUCUGAGCAGUAGUUCCUGGUCCCAAGCCCCAGGGUGUAAAGGAAUUAGAAUUUAAAAAUUGAAAGACAUCCAGGACAGUACAGGACAGGAUGGGACAGGAUAGGAUAGCCCAGAGCAGCAUGUGUUCAAUAUAGGUUUGCAAAGGUUGUCUCGCACCUGUGAUGCAUCUCAAAACAGGUGUUCCCCAAAGGAAAAGAACGUAUGUCCCGGAAAAGUAAAAUCUUCCCUCAGGGAACACAGGGUCUCUGUGUGUCUUGUUCAGAGUGUGGGAGAAAGGCUCACAGACCCCACUGGAUGCAUGUGAUAGGCUGAGCCCCACUGCUUAAGCUAUGGUGCUGUGGUCUCUCACAAGACCAGUGUGAAGUCAUGAGGUUUUGUUUGGGUUUUUUGUCACAAUUCUCAAAGCUGUUUCCUGACUGUCCAGCUCCCUGAGGAAGUCCCUUGGAGGCAGUCUGUGUGCAGGCACCUGUAGGUGUUUAUGCACACCUCUGUCCAGCACCCCUCCAGCAGGAGCCUGGGGUAGGCAGCAGGGCUUAUAGGAACUGCAUCCGCCAUAAGUGUCCUGCUCCACUCAGCUCAUUCCUGCAGCUCUUUUCCAUGCUCCUUCUUUCACUACUGUGCCAAGGACCUGACCACCCAGGUGGGAACAGGCAGAGCAUUUUCCUAUGGUUGCAACAAGAGCAAGAGUCUGUUUUCUAGGGCCAGAGAAUCAAGAAUGCUGGGUGUAGAUGACAGUCCAUGUGCUAGUCUGCCUCUGGGCACCUUCUCUGUCUCCCUUGUCCAGCUGAACAAAGGCUCUUGAUUGCUGAGGAUUCUCUCACAUGACCAGAAAAAUGAAUAAAAAAGCAAAGAAGGAAAGAAUGAAAUGUCACGAGACAGAGAAAAAUAGGAAUCUAGCAGAAGGUUCAGGCUGGGAGCAGAGUUGGUGAACACCUUCACCAGAGGGAGAGAGACUAACUUAAAAUACCAAUUUAAAACCCAACCCAAACAAAAAAAAACCAACACAAGAAUAUUUGCACCAUCUGCUUGCUGUUUGCUUGUUUUCUGAACAUUUAGGGCACAGUCAGAUCAUAGCUUUGACCCAGCCUCCUAGGUUUGGAACACCCCUCUGUAUUGCAAACUGAAAUUCUUGCCUCACUGAUGUUGUCUGGAACCUGAAGUUUUGACCUGCCUGUCCCCAAGCAUGGUCUCCGUCCCCUGGGCACAAGAAGAGCUGGCAGCAUGUAUGAGUACAGGAUCCUGCAGCCAAUCAGCCAUGGCACUUCCCAUUAGCCCCUGAAGAAAUUCAGUCCUGAGUUCUGCUUUGGGCGUGCAGGCAAAUGUGCUUUCCUACAGGCAUCUUCCCCACUGCAACCCCCCAGAACCUGUCCUUGCAUUUCUAUUUAAUUAGAGACACCACAUGACACCAGGACUGGGAUCUGAUCCCUGCACUUUUUAGAAGAAUGAAUUACACAGUGUUCUGAUAGAUUUCUACAUGAAACAGGUCUAAAUGGAUACUCAAACCAAACUCGUCCCAUUCGUGAAAAAACAGCCUCCAUUUAGUAAAAAUGGACAAUUUAUUUCUGUCUUUUCAAAUGUGAUUGCAAUUAUAUUUUGUAAAUCUAUUCAUUUGAUUGCACUAUCAGCAGAUUCAUUUUAAAGUAGUCCUCCACAUGCAAUGGCAGCAACCCAGCAUGGUAAAGCAAGAAAUUCUCAGCUUGUACCUGACCACAAACUGAUGGUUUGGAUCUUCAAUUUUUGAGAAAAAAAUCCAGUUACUUCUUUUUGUACCUUUAAAAGACUAACUACAGUUUCUUCUGACCAUGCUGUCUCUUAUAGCAUACAAGAAAAGCUUAAAUCCUGUAUAUCGCAAAAUAAUAAUUUAUAUAGGUGGUGUUGCCUUAGGUUUUAACUUUCAUACUUUUCAAAUCCUGCACUGCUUAGUG